ensembl:lncRNA
UUUUGAUUGAACAGAUCUGAGUUUAAUGAUAAAGCUUGAGAAGGAUAUCUUGCAAGUAGGAUAGGACACUGAAGAAGGAGUAUAAAGGACUUUUAGAAACGAAUCCAUAGAAAUUUCUGUAAGUAGUACAGUAGAGUAUGUGGGCAGAUUUCAAAGCAGAAGUUUUGAAGUAUUUUCUUGAAGACUGUUUUGCUGCGUAGUUAGAACGUACAACUAUUGUAAUGCCAUCUAUGGUUGUCUAGGACAGUGGUCUCUAAAUGUUUUUAAUUGUGCACGCCUAUCAGUAAGAAGUUUUUAAGCAUGCAACUCCCAACGUAUGUACAUUUAUUUACUGCUAAGUAUAUCAUUGCACCACUGUAAAUAUGUACGUAUUGUACUGACCUUGUAAGUGUAAAUACACAUGCAUUUACAUUAAAAAACAUACAAAAAUAGAAAUGAAGAUGAAAUAAUGUUUUAUUUCUUAAUAAUGCAAAAAAAUUGUUAUCACAAACAUAUUAAUAAUACUGGUGAGAGCAGUGUGAUUGAAUACGGUUCAUUAUUUUUGAGAAUCUCUGUUUAACACUGUGUGACCCAAUGAUUCAAAGGUGUGGCUGUAAUUUCAGUUUAUUUCCAUGCUUAGUUUUAAUGGAUACCUCACAAAUAUUAAAAUGGAAGAAGAGCAUCUUUGUAUGCAGGUACUAAAUCACGGUACUCAUUUUUUUCAAUUCCAUCCAGCAUUUAUGUACAGGUUUUUUGCUGCAAUUCAGCUAAUAAUUCCCUUCUUCCGCAGUGUAAAUUGGUUGUUCUUGCCUACUAACCACAGAAUCACAGAGAAUCACAGAACUGUAGGGGUUGGAAGGUACUCCUAGAGAUCAAUGAGUCCAACUGCUCUGCUAAAACAGGUUCCCUACAGCAGGUCACACAGAUAGGUGUCCAGAUGGGUCUUGAAUAUCUCCAGGAAAAGGGACACCAUAACAUCUCAGGGCAACCUGAUCCAGUGCUCCGUCACUCUGACACUCAUUAAGCUCUUCCUCGCGUUAACACGGAACUUCCUGUGGUCCACAGGAAGUGGACGCAUACAAAAGUAAUACCCAUUUCCCCGUACUUUCCUCAUAUUUCCAUUCAGCUCUCCGUGGAUGCAUAAACUAUGAGGAUGACAUCACCUUACUACAUUCUUGUGUUUAUUAGAUUGUCCGUUGUGAUCCCAUGCCCUUUCUUCAUUAAGUAGAGGAAAAGCCAAAGCAAAGCAAGAACCAGGAAUAAAAAAAAAAACGUCAUUGACACUUAAGCCCUUACAAGAUGCUCCCAUGUUGUACCUGACUUGUGGGAAAGUACCUGGCUGCUUCAUUCUUAUAUGAACACUUUGAUAUGCUAUUGACAUGAUUCGGUGGGUUGACGGUUAGACUAGCUGCUCUAAUGGUCUUUCCAACCUUCAUAAUUCUAUGAUUCUGUAUAAGGUGUUAAUUGAAACGGCAUAUCAAAAUAAGCAAUAUUUUGUUAAGCUCAGAAUCCCACCAUGUCACAUCACAUGCAUCUCUACACUUACAGCACAGAUCCUAGAAUCAUGGAACCACCAAGGCUGGGAAAGAGCUCCAAGAUCAUCUAGUCAAACCUUGAGAAGUAAGUUUCAUGCAUGAAAACAGUUUCGUUUUGUUUUUAUUAAAGGAAGGUACACACAUCAUAGAUUAAAAAGGGAAAGCGAUCACAUAACAGUGGUGUGCUGUAGCACUUCAAAUGCUAUUCACUUCUACUAACUGGACAGUAUUGCAUUUUAACAUCUUUAACAAACAGAUUCAAAACCCACCGAAACUUUUCCUCUGGAAGGUUUUUAAAAUGGUUUAGAAAACUGUUUCCAAGUUUCUGUAUGUGUACAGAUAUGUACAGAUAUGUAUAGAUAUGAGGUAUUACAGGCAGCAUAUCACUUUCAGCAGGAAAAUCACAGAAUCUCCACAGCAUAACAUCCUUUCGAAAAAGCACAUACUUUCUCACUCAUUGUUAAAAUGGCACUUUCUUUCAUGCGCUCUUGUGAAUAUAUUUUCUCUGUCUUUUCUUCACGAAACAGAAUUCUAUAGAAACAGAAUCUAGGAAAUACCAGAAGCAGAAAUGCGUUAGAAACAUUUGUACUUUUCAUCCAGCUUGAAUAGCAACCCUCCCAUACCAUAUAAUUUAUUCUGGUACUUGCUGCUUCAAAUCCUCCAUAAUGUUAUCUGUGUAUGCGCUGACAAAGAAAUUCAUUUUAGUUAGUUGUGCUAUAGCUUUCUGUAUGGAAGUUGUAGCCAGAUGGGGGUCGGCCCCUUCUACCAGCUAGCUAGUGAUAGGACCAGAAGUGAUGGCCUGCAGCGGCACCAGAAGAGGUUCAGGUUGAAUAUUAGAAAAAAUUUCUUCUCAGAAAGGGUGGUGAGGUACUGAAAUGGGCUGCCCAGGGAAGUGGUACAGUCAUAGUCCCUGGUGAUGUUUAAGGAAAUGGUAGAUGUAGUACUUAGCGACAUGGUCCCGCCGCCGAGUGGGGGGGGAGGCAGAGGGAAUCAGAGGCAGAGGCAGAGGCAGAGGCAGAGGCAGAGGCAGAGGCAGAGGAGGAGCCGCGAGGAGGAGGGGAGAAGCCGUUGCCGCGGCGACGCGCGGCUCGGGCGGGCGCUGUGCGGUGGCAGUGACGCACGGCUCUGCGCGCGCCCUGGAGACGCGUAACGCGCGAGCGUCCUCCGGCCGGCCCCUUCCUCGUCGUCCUCGUCGUCCUCGUCGUCCUCGCAAAUGCGGACUCAGAGCAAAGCAGCUCCCUUUGGCACGGGGAGGAGCGCCGCUAACUCGACCACGCUCGCUCCCGUGAGGCGGCUCGCUUGCCGGCGAUCUCCGACGGACGGCUCGCUAGGAGACGCCUGCAGUUCCCGUUCUGGCAGCGGCUCGGUGCAAGCGCAGGCCCAAGGGAGAUGUCAGCUGCGGAGACGUGCCCUUCCUCCACAGGACGGGAAAGCAAGUCGGGGAGAAGAGCUGGAGGCAGCUGAACCU